rnacentral:rRNA from 1 species
GAUGAACGCUAGCGGCGUGCCUAACACAUGCAAGUCGAACGUGAGAGGGUACUUGUAUCCUUGAAAGUGGCGGACGGGUGAGUAAGACGUAGGUGACCUGCCUUGAAGUGGGGGAUAACCAUUGGAAACGAUGGCUAAUACCGCAUAGCUGGUGAUGAUGGGAAUCGUUAUCAGGAAAGCUUUAGUGCUUUGAGAGGGGCCUACGGCCGAUUAGCUAGUUGGUGAGGUAAAGGCUCACCAAGGCGAUGAUCGGUAGCUGGUCUGAGAGGACGAUCAGCCACACGGGAACUGAGACACGGUCCCGACUCCUACGGGGGGCAGCAGUGAGGAAUAUUCGGCAAUGGGGGCAACCCUGACCGAGCAACGCCGCGUGGAGGAUGACGGUUUUCGGAUUGUAAACUCCUUUUCUCAGGGAAGAGCGAGGACGGUACCUGGGGAAUAAGUCACGGCUAACUACGUG